GUCGUCUUCUUCAUUACGUAUGCAAUCUCUGUCUUCUUCCGCCAUGAUAACACCUCCACAUCUUUCUUUUCUCUUCUUUACUCUUCAUUUUCACAUUACUGUCUCUGCACAAAGUUAAGAGUUUUACUCUCCUUAUUACCACUUACUUUACUAUCCAUGUAUAGAUUUGGUGUAUGAAUCCUUCAAAUUUCAUGCUUAAUUGUUGUUUUUAUCGUAUUUGACGAACACCCUUUUCGUUAUUUGAUCUGUGUUUAUGGUUUUUUUGAGUUAUUUUAUAGAUUUGAUAGACACCCAUUUCGGAUUUUGAUCUGAUUUUCAAGCUGUAGUUAUGUAUAACACACCUUUAGUUCUGUCCUUUCUUCUUUUGUUAUCAUUUCCACUGAUUUUCAUUUUUGCCCCAAAAAUUCUACAUCAGAAACACACUGAAAUUUCAAUUCCUGAUGAGGUUGAUGAUAUCGCUUUAUUUCGCCGUGCGACCCUUUAUUCAGUCGGUAAACGUGGUGGGGAUGGUGGGAUUAGGGCGGUUUCCCGGUUGGGUGUUACGAAUCCUCGCCGGAAAAUUGCUUUUUUGUUUCUGACGAACACAGAUCUCCAUUUCGCGCCGCUUUGGGAGCGAUUUUUCUCCGGUCAUGGAGAUUUGUACAAUAUUUACAUCCACGCAGAUCCAUCUGCGAAAGUUGCUUCACCUGGCGGUGUUUUCGAUGGGCGGUUUAUUCCGGCGAAGAAAACCGAACGCGCCUCCCCUUCACUAAUCUCCGCCACUCGCCGACUUCUAGCCACGGCGAUUCUAGACGAUUCCAUGAAUUCCUAUUUCGCCGUUGUUUCUCAACACUGUAUCCCGCUUCACUCUUUCAAAUUCGUUUACAAAUCUCUCUUCAAAUCAACUCAUUCCCCGGUACACCGGAGCUUCAUUGAGAUACUCUCCGGUGAACCGCAGUUAUGGGAUCGGUAUAUCGCUAGAGGAGAAUCCGUCAUGCUACCUGAAGUCCCAUUCGAUCGGUUUCGGGUCGGGUCACAGUUCUUCAUGCUGACCCGAAGCCAUGCCCGGUUAGUAGUCCGUGACCGGAAGUUAUGGAGGAAGUUCAAAUUGCCUUGUUUGAACAAAGACUCAUGUUACCCGGAAGAGCAUUACUUCCCGACCCUUUUGUCAAUGGAGGAUCCGGAUAGGUGUACCCAUUACACACUCACUCGGGUCAAUUGGACCGGUAGUGUGGACGGGCACCCGCAUACCUAUUACCCGAAUGAGAUCUCACCGGAGCUCAUUCACGAGCUCCG
rnacentral:misc_RNA from 1 species